rnacentral:lncRNA from 1 species
CAGAAUUCCACCAACUUCCCGCAUCCCAGACUAGUUUGUCUAAUUGGCAGUCUCUUAGAUGGUGGCCUGCAGGAGGAAGGAUUUUGUUUGUUUGUUUUCUGAGAAGGUGAGGGAAGGACUUUGUGUAGGCAUUUCCGGUGUGGGGGAAACAGCUUGCGUUUCGCCGUUACCACAGUAACCUGACGUCAUCAUGGCGACCAAGGCGACCAAGACGACUUUUUAAGACUAGGAGGUGAUCUGGUGAGAGAAGAGCACGGCCCCGCCUCCAGCUCCUCAUAUGGCUCAUAUCAGGUGUCUAAAGAAGACAGUUUUCUGAGGAUGUGGGUCAUGAUUGCUGCUGAAGAUCUGAAGGGCAACAGUGCUCAGGACACUCCCAACACUUCCAUCCCUGAUCCCCUACUGCCUCAUAGAAAACCAGAGAGGAGGUAACAUGAGGAGAACAAAUGGACAUUUUCAUCUCAACAGUGGCAGAGUAAAGUGAGAAUAUGUUGUGAAACAACUUUCGUCUGAUGACCUUCACUAAAAUCCUGGGAAGUGGAGACGUGCUCUUGCCCUUUCCCUGUACAUCUAUAAUUUCCCAACUGUACCCAACUGUGGCUGUCAGUGUAGGUAGAUUUAUAUGUUAGUUCUGUGAUGACCCUAUUAGCUAAUUCCCUUGAUUUAGGGAUGUUCUCCAUUUGGAAACAGCCAUUUUCCUAGGGGAAGAACUGGAGGUGUUUAUUUUUUUCUCACUUCCAAAACCAAGACAUUUUUGUUAUGGAUAAAAAUGGAAUUACAUGAAAGGAAAAAACAUCAUUUAAAAAAACCUUAAAAUUCAAUUACUCAUGAAUAAACAUGGCUAAAUUUUGAAUAUAUGUAUAUUCAAAAGAGUUUGUCUCUCAAAUGAACUUUUUGAAUAUAUGUAUUCAAACUUUUUUCACAAGUUUUUCUGUGCAAAUGUAACUAUAUUUAAGAACAGGAAUUUGAUAACAUACUACUUAUACCCUUGUUAACUGCUUUUUUUGUGACAGACAUCGAAGGGCAAUCCAUGUCCAUCACUCUGAAUACACAUGACAAUAAAAAAGGCCACUGAGACAUUAGUAGUCAAAUUAGAUAUAAAAACAGUGAUUAAAAUGGUU